UCUGGCUCAGUUUCGACUAAGCCGGCUGGCAGAGUGGAAGGAUUUCUGGGUUUCUGUCUCGGGUUUUUGCCGUUUGCUUCCAGUUGUGGUGUUUGGACACAUUCAGGUUGGAGUUUCUCCUAUUGGGGUGUCUAAGUUUUGCGCCAGCAGCGAGAAAUAAAGCCGUUGAAAGCUUUGGAUCUUUCUUCCACGGAAAUUCACAGGAACUGUCACUAGUCCUGCCGGAAGAGGACUUUUGUGGGUUGAAGUCGUUCGGGUGAAUUAGUUUGACCAGCAGUGUUGUUAUUGUGUGUUUGCCAAGCUACUGAAGCCUUCAGGCUCGGGAAAUUCCGACGGGUUUCCAGGAUCUUUUUUUCUUCUUGUGACAAUAGCGGAAAGUGGAAAAUUUCCUUCCAUCCGGGAUCCGUUUCUGGCUGCCUUCUUAAAGAAGUUGAUGGGAUAGUGAAAGUGUUUGCACAGUUUGUCCUGCCCGAGUCGCUGAAUUGUUGUCAUAAAUUUGAACAGCAAACCCCGGAACGUGCUGCAGGUCCAUUAAAGAUUGCUUGGUUGUUGCUUUCUCCGCGUCUUUGGUUUAGGAAAAGUUUUUAACCGAUUGUGGGGCUACUAAAGUGUGCCAAGAAAAACAUGAACUUGGCCAAGUGAGACAAUUGUUGAUUAAGUGUGUCAACUGUCUGUUGGAUUUUUUGCUUGCAACUUUGAAGAACUCAGAUGAGGAAUAGCAGAACAAACGGAAGAAAUUGUGCUGUGUUAAAUUACUAAGGUUGAAGCUGCCUUCAAACAAUCACACUCAAAGGAAAAUAAAAACUCUCGCAGAUCGCCAGUAUCUUGCCAAUAAAAUUAUUCAGCUACUAGAGACAAUCAACGACGACGGUUUUAAACAUUCAUAAACUGUUUCAUUGCACCCAAAUCAAUACCUGGAUUGGGCAUCUUAUUAGCACGACCACGCGGAUGAGACACCCGGAGACAUAUAAUCAUAUUUUUCGGCAUCUUUCAGUCGGAAAGGGGAUCAUCUUUCAGCGAUUGACAUUUUUUUUACGACAGGUGCCAUUGCAACGACUUUUGGCUUUUGAAGGAGCCGUUCUGUAAAGAGCAUUAGCAUAACCAAUAGAAAAAAAAAAGUUGUAUUGAAAUGUAAUAAAACACCGAGCGAAAUAUUUUGCCCCCGUGUAAACAACAUUAUUGCAGUGAAGAGGAAAAUAUAAAAUUACUUGAAGCAAGCAAGCAAAGCAAAGCAAAGCAAAGAAGGGAGAAUAUAGAAGUUAAGUUAAGUUGAAAAAAAAAGUGUGCAAGUAAACAUCACGAGAAGGCGGGCAAACAGAAGCAUAAAAAUUACAAAUUGAAUCGCUCUCGUGUAAUGGCAUGUGAAUUUGAUUUGUGAAAAGUGUAUAUCCGCGAGCCAGUGUGUGUGUGUUUUUCUGUAUACUGUUACACAGGAAAAGGAAGCUGGGGAAGCAGCAGCGGCAAAUGUGAGAAAACAGGAGGAAAAGCUAACAACGUCUCGUUUGGAGCAGAUUCAGAUUCCCGGUGUUUCCUGGAGGCAAACGAAAUCAACAUACCUAUACGUUCAAACAUCCACAAAGCUAGUUACAUACACACAUCCAAACCAAGCAAGUGAUAAGCAGCUAAGACGGGCAAUCAUCCUGAGCGAGAAAAUGUUAUUUAUGAUGGCGGAUGAUGAAGAAUAGCUCAAGCAGCCAGCCAGCAGUGUGCCAGCAGAAGUAAAACAAAUGUGAUUUCCGGCGAGGGGUGUUAAUUUCGUGACAAUUAAUGUAAUUUGUAUAAUUUUACAGAGGAUUUUAGGACUCAACGAGGGAUUUGAACGCUGUUUGGAGUUUUUUCGCUGGAGUAUUCAAUUUCAGAGAUCAAGGUAAA